AGCAAAAACUUGAAUCCUUAUGCAAUCCAAAUGCUGUUUCCUCGAAAACCACAACAAACUCUGCUAAACCAGAUAACACGUUGGGAACAGUCGUGCCCCCACCCCAGCCCGUUUCAGGGCCAGCAGAGGACAUCCUUGCCCAGGAGCUCCUCUCCAGGACAGACGAUAAAUAAUUGCUACUAACACUGAACUGCAGAUGAGCCCCCUUGAGGGAUCCGGAUGCCGUAAACUGUCCCGGAAUGUUGGCAUCUGGCUCUUAAAAUGGAACUUUCCCUAGAGAUAAAGCCGGGACCGAGCAGGCGUCUGCGUCCGCGGGCUGGCUUGGAAGUUUCUGGCCUCUAGAUGCUCCCGGUUGAGAACGCAGCUUUGGAAAGAGGCUCAGUCGGCCCCGCUUUGUAGUGGAGUCCAGCAUCAAAGUCAUCCCCGCGAAGAUCCAAAGGAAUAAAUAAAUCUCGCCGGCCGCUGAGACCGUCACCUUCUCCCCAUCCGCUCCUCCCUCGCGCCAGCCCCACCCCGAACGCCUCGGUUGCAAAAACAAGUGAAAUAAAGCAAAACCUCUUGCUUUGGCAA